rnacentral:rRNA from 1 species
AGUGAACGCUGGCGGUAGGCCUAACACAUGCAAGUCGAACGGCAGCACAGAGGAGCUUGCUCCUUGGGUGGCGAGUGGCGGACGUGUGAGGAAUACAUCGGAAUCUACUCUGUCGUGGGGGAUAACGUAGGGAAACUUACGCUAAUACCGCAUACGACCUACGGGUGAAAGCAGGGGAUCUUCGGACCUUGCGCGAUUGAAUGAGCCGAUGUCGGAUUAGCUAGUUGGCGGGGUAAAGGCCCACCAAGGCGACGAUCCGUAGCUGGUCUGAGAGGAUGAUCAGCCACACUGGAACUGAGACACGGUCCAGACUCCUACGGGAGGCAGCAGUGGGGAAUAUUGGACAAUGGGCGCAAGCCUGAUCCAGCCAUACCGCGUGGGUGAAGAAGGCCUUCGGGUUGUAAAGCCCUUUUGUUGGGAAAGAAAUCCAGCCGGCUAAUACCUGGUUGGGAUGACGGUACCCAAAGAAUAAGCACCGGCUAACUUCGUG